rnacentral:sRNA from 1 species
GAAAGUUCCCUUCGGGGAGCAAGUACAUCGGCGAACGGGUGAGUAACACGUAGGUAAUCUACCCUGGAGACUGGGAUAACCUGCCGAAAGGCGGGCUAAUACCAGAUAAGACCACGGGGGCUCCGGCCCUUGAGGUAAAAGGUGGCCUCUAUAUACAAGCUAUCGCUCCUGGAUGAGCCCGCGGCCCAUCAGCUAGUUGGCGGGGUAACGGCCCACCAAGGCUAAAGACGGGUAGCUGGUCUAAGAGGACGAUCAGCCACACUGUAUCUGAGACACGUGAAAGACUCCUACGGGAGGUCGAAGUGGAUU